UACAGAGGUCCCAAGCGUUGCUCGGAUUCACUGGGCGUAAAGGGUGCGUAGGCGGUCGGGUAAGUCUGACGUGAAAUCUCCGGGCCUAACCCGGAAACUGCGUCGGAUACUAUCCGGCUAGAGGAUUGGAUGGGAGACUGGAAUACUUGGUGUAGCAGUGAAAUGCGUAGAUAUCAAGUGGAACACCAGUGGCGAAGGCGAGUCUCUGGACAAUUCCUGACGCUGAGGCACGAAAGCCAGGGGAGCAAACGGG
rnacentral:rRNA from 1 species